rnacentral:rRNA from 1 species
GACGAACGCUGGCGGCGUGCUUAACACAUGCAAGUCGAACGAUGACGACCGAGCUUGCUCGGUCUGAUUAGUGGCGAACGGGUGAGUAACACGUGAGCAACCUGCCCUUCACUCUGGGAUAACCUCGGGAAAUCGGGACUAAUACCGGAUAUGAGCUCCUGUCGCAUGGCGGGUGUUGGAAAGUUUUUCGGUGAAGGAUGGGCUCGCGGCCUAUCAGUUUGUUGGUGAGGUAGUGGCUCACCAAGGCGAUGACGGGUAGCCGGCCUGAGAGGGCGACCGGCCACACUGGGACUGAGACACGGCCCAGACUCCUACGGGAGGCAGCAGUGGGGAAUAUUGCACAAUGGGCGAAAGCCUGAUGCAGCGACGCCGCGUGAGGGAUGACGGCCUUCGGGUUGUAAACCUCUUUCAGCAGGGAAGAAGCGAAAGUGACGGUACCUGCAGAAGAAGCGCCGGCUAACUACGUG